rnacentral:misc_RNA from 1 species
UAGACGCUUAGGUGCUGAAAGCCGUAGACCGUCUGGUAGAGCUAAGCGAAAGCUCAAUCCUUUGCUGUCUUUCCUUCUUUAGCUUUGAAUUUCCCACUCCUUAUUGGUUUUGCUUUUCUUUUUCAUUUGCUUUUUCUGUUUUAUUUUUUGGGCUUGGAAGUGGUGGGGCGUUGGUGGGGCGAGGAUUUUGAUUUUGACUUCUCCUGGACUUUCUCGGGAAAAUUUUUGAUGGGGAGAAUGGC